rnacentral:rRNA from 1 species
CCUACGGGGGCAGCAGUGGGGAAUAUUGGCCAAUGGGCGAAAGCCUGAUCCAGCCAUGCCGCGUGUGUGAAGAAGGCCUUCGGGUUGUAAAGCACUUUCAGUGGGGAAGAAAGCCUUGGGGCUAAUACCCUCGAGGAAGGACAUCACCCACAGAAGAAGCACCGGCUAACUCCGUGCCAGCAGCCGCGGUAAUACGGAGGGGGCGAGCGUUAAUCGGAAUUACUGGGCGUAAAGCGCGCGUAGGCGGUCUGAUAAGCCGGUUGUGAAAGCCCCGGGCUCAACCUGGGAACGGCAUCCGGAACUGUCAGGCUAGAGUGCAGGAGAGGAAGGUAGAAUUCCCGGUGUAGCGGUGAAAUGCGUAGAGAUCGGGAGGAAUACCAGUGGCGAAGGCGGCCUUCUGGACUGACACUGACGCUGAGGUGCGAAAGCGUGGGUAGCAAACAGGAUUAGAUACCCUUGUAGUC